ensembl:lncRNA
AUGUUGUAAUACACAAUGUAUUAUAGUGGAGGUAAUGUUGUAAUACACAGUGUAUCAUAGUGGAGGUAAUGUUGUAAUACACAGUGUAUUAUAGUGGAGGUAAUGUUGUAAUACACAGUGUAUUGUAGUGGAGGUAAUGUUGUAAUACACAGUGUAUCGUAGUGGAGGUAAUGUUGUAAUACACAGUGUAUUAUAGUGGAGGUAAUGCUGUAAUACACAGUGUAUCAUAGUGGAGGUAAUGUUGUCAUACACAGUGUAUCAUAGUGGAGGUAAUGUUGUCAUACACAGUGUAUCAUAGUGGAGGUAAUGCUGUAAUACACAGUGUAUCACAGUGGAGGUAAUGUUGUAAUACACAGUGUAUUAUAGUAGAGGUAAUGUUGUA